rnacentral:rRNA from 1 species
UACGGAGGGUCCAAGCGUUAUCCGGAAUAACUGGGUUUAAAGGGUGCGCAGGCGGCUAAUUAAGUCAGAGGUGAAAGAUCUGGGCUCAACCGAGGGAUUGCCUUUGAUACUGAUUAGCUGGGAUUAGGAUGAGGUAAGCGGAAUGUGGCAUGUAGCGGUGAAAUGCUUAGAUAUGCCAUGGAACACCGAUUGCGUAGGCAGCUUACUGGACCUAUAUCGACGCUGAGGCACGAAAGCGUGGGGAGCGAACGGG